rnacentral:rRNA from 1 species
GUGCCAGCAGCCGCGGUAAUACGUAGGGCGCGAGCGUUGUCCGGAAUUAUUGGGCGUAAAGAGCUUGUAGGCGGUUGGUCGCGUCUGCUGUGAAAGGCUGGGGCUUAACCCUGGUUUUGCAGUGGGUACGGGCUAACUAGAGUGCAGUAGGGGAGACUGGAAUUCCUGGUGUAGCGGUGGAAUGCGCAGAUAUCAGGAGGAACACCGAUGGCGAAGGCAGGUCUCUGGGCUGUAACUGACGCUGAGAAGCGAAAGCAUGGGGAGCGAACAGGAUUAGAUACCCUGGUAGUCCAUGCCGUAAACGUUGGGCACUAGGUGUGGGGGACAUUCCACGUUUUCCGCGCCGUAGCUAACGCAUUAAGUGCCCCGCCUGGGGAGUACGGCCGCAAGGCUAAAACUCAAAGAAAUUGACGGGGGCCCGCACAAGCGGCGGAGCAUGCGGAUUAAUUCGAUGCAACGCGAAGAACCUUACCAAGGCUUGACAU